rnacentral:lncRNA from 1 species
AUUGAUAUUGUUAUUGUCGUUGUUGUUGUUGUCGUUCAUGUCGCUGUUUUCGUUGUUGUUGUUGUUGUUGUUAUUGCUUUUCUUGUCGUUAUUGUCGUUGUUCUUGUCAUUGUCGUUGUUGUCGUCAUUGUCGUUGUCGUCAUCGUCCUUGUUGUUGUUGUUGUUGUUGUUGUUGUUGUGGUUGUUCUUGUUGUUGUUUUUGUUGUUG